GUUCCCUGGUCCAGGCAGCGCUGACUCAGCCGCCCUCGGUGUCGGCGAACCCAGGACAAACCGUCCAGAUCACCUGCUCCGGUGGUGGCAGCUACUAUGGCUGGGACCAAGAGACAACACUUGGGUACGUGCCACUCUCCAUGGCCACACUACCCAUCCCUGGAGUCCAAGCCGAGGCAGAUGCUGUCUCUUACUGUGCCAGCUGGGAUAACUGUGCUGAUCGGGGUCACGGUGACUCCCCGCACGGGGGAA